GAUGAACGCUGGCGGCGUGCCUAAUACAUGCAAGUCGAGCGAACAGACGAGGAGCUUGCUCCUCUGACGUUAGCGGCGGACGGGUGAGUAACACGUGGAUAACCUACCUAUAAGACCGGGAUAACUUCGGGAAACCGGAGCUAAUACCGGAUAAUAUAUUGAACCGCAUGGUUCAAUAGUGAAAGACGGUUUUGCUGUCACUUCUAGAUGGAUCCGCGCCGCAUUAGCUAGUUGGUAAGGUAACGGCUUACCAAGGCAACGAUGCGUAGCCUACCUGAGAGGGGGGUCGGCCACACUGGAACUGAGACACGGACCUGACUCCUACGGGAGGCAGCAGUAGGGAAUCGUCCGCAAUGGGCGAAAGCCUGACGGAGCAACGCCGAGUGAGUGAUGAAGGUCUUCGGAUCGUAAAACUCUGUUAUUAGGGAAGAACAAAUGUGUAAGUAACUAUGCACGUCUUGACGGUACCUAAUCAGAAAGCCACGGCUAACUACGUG
rnacentral:rRNA from 1 species